rnacentral:SRP_RNA from 1 species
GGCCAAGUCCCUCGCAAUGUCUGGAUACCCAACCCCGCCAGGUCCGGAAGGAAGCAACGGCCGGUAUCACUGCAUGUGACGGGGGUCGCUUGGCCCUU